AUUGAACGCUGGCGGCAUGCCUUACACAUGCAAGUCGAACGGCAGCACGGGGGGUAACCCCUGUUGGCGAGUGGCGAACGGGUGAGUAAUAUAUCGGAACGUGUCCUGUAGCGGGGGAUAACCUAUCGAAAGAUGGACUAAUACCGCAUACGGCCUACGGGUGAAAGCGGAGGACCGCAAGGCUUCGCACUAUAGGAGCGGCCGAUAUCGGAUUAGCUAGUUGGCGGGGUAACGGCCCACCAAGGCGACGAUCCGUAGCUGGUCUGAGAGGACGAUCAGCCACACUGGAACUGAGACACGGUCCAGACUCCUACGGGAGGCAGCAGUGGGGAAUUUUGGACAAUGGGCGCAAGCCUGAUCCAGCCAUGCCGCGUGAGUGAAGAAGGCCUUCGGGUUGUAAAGCUCUUUCGGCGGGGACGAAACGGUUCGUGCUAAUACCACGGACUACUGACGGUACCCGCAGAAGAAGCACCGGCUAACUACGUG
rnacentral:rRNA from 1 species